rnacentral:misc_RNA from 1 species
GAUGAAGAACGUAGCGAAAUGCGAUAAGUAAUGUGAAUUGCAGAAUUCAGUGAAUCAUCGAAUCUUUGAACGCACCUUGCGCCUUUUGGUAUUCCGAAAGGCACACCUGUUCGAGCGUCAUGAAUACCUCAAUCUCCAUCUUUUCUUCGGAUUGAUGGGUGACUUGGAUGUUGAGCCCUGCUGGUAUGCUAUAUCAGCUGGCUUUAAACUUAUUAGCCGGCUCUGUACUGGAUCGGUUUGACUCGACGUGAUAAUAUUAUCGUUGAGGAUGCAUGUCUCAUGCAGCCGGAAAGUAUCAAAGCAGCUUCUAGCUUGCCUUUAGUGCACUUUUACAUUUUAGACCUCAGAUCAGGUGGGACUACCCGCUGAACUUAAGCAUAUCAAUAAGCGGAGGA